GUUGGUUGUUACUACAUGUACGGGUGUUGGCUACACUGUUAAUGUUCUUCCUCCGCCAUUGCACGCGAUUACAAUUUGCGGAAUAGGCUAGUGGAUCCUCCGAAGUGUAAACUCGAUUGGUUAAUAAUCCGUGAAGAAAGAUGUCUUCUGCAGUUCCAACGAAAAAGCUCCCUAAGCCCCAAAUGAGGAAUUUGUUAACCAAUCAGUCCAAAGUUGUUUUUGGAGCUGGAUUGGUUCUCGCAGCGAGCGUUGCACUUGCAUAUAAAUUGAUUGUUGGAGAAGGCCGCAAGCGAAAAUAUGCGGAAUUCUAUAAGACAUAUGAUGCUGAGAAAGAGCUGAAGAGGAUGGUGGAAGCUGGUGUUUUAGUUUCAGGCAAACUGGACUCGUGAAGAUUGUCAUAAAUUGUAGUACCAUGCAAUAAUAAAUGUAUAUCAUUCUCGUCUCUGCCGUACAGAAGAUACAAAUUGUAUUAAAAAAUAUGUUCUAAAAUUGUAAAUAAAGAAUUUGUCGAUAA
rnacentral:lncRNA from 1 species